AAUAGCUCCUCUAAUGUUUUGAUUUCCUAAUAAUGUCCGGCAUUUUGCGACCGCCGUUGCUACCGUGGCAUCGUGGUUUUAGUAUAGUUAUUAUCCACAUAAGAAAUAGUUCAUAUAAAAAUGCUCGAAACGUGGAAAUUUUCAACGACGCGGAACAAAACCCAGGUAUCGACUAUUUUUUUACAGAUGCUUUCCUUUCGAUUCGAUCGCUUUUUUGAAAGACGAUAUGAGAGUAUAUGAGAGUACACGUAUUAAGGUGAAAAGCCAAGUUUUCAUAAAACAAUAAUAAAAAUGGAUAUUCACAGUCAACAAUAAUCUCUUUUCAGAAGUUUGUUAAUAAAAGUUGUUCUUGUAAUAAAUAUUUUACGCAAGUAGAAUAUUAAAAUAAAUUAAUAUAUUUACCUCUG